rnacentral:lncRNA from 1 species
AGCAGAGGGACUGCCUUUCAGAGACUUUGGAUCAUCACCACGAUGGGUUGAUUUUACAAAUUUAGCCACUGUCACCGGAGGCCUGGUCGAACUUCAGAGUUUCUUCUCCAGCAUCAGUUUCUUGAUUGCCAAAAGUUCCUUCCAGUCUAAUACUCUGGGAUUCUGGGCCAGUUUCUGGUCUGUCACAGCUGAAUAAGAGUGCAAGGGCAGGAGUGGAAUGUUCAGACUGCUCCAAGAGGACCUUGGCCCAGGUGAGGCAGCAGGCCCGGCACCCUGCCCACAACCACAUAGCGGGCCCAGGCUUGUCUGACGCCUCAGGCUGUGCUCUCUCCAGCUCACUGCGGUGCCUCUCCCAGAUUCGGGCACACUCUGGUGUAACCUGCUUCGCUCGUUCGCGGGAUGGGUGGUGAGCAUGGAGCCCAUUUUCCCAUGUGGCAUUUCAGCAACAGGACUUGGCUAUUUGAAACUCCCCAGACAUAGCAGGAUUUAAAAAAACGGAUCCCCUCUGGCUGGGCAUUUAGGUUGCUUUCACUUCUGGGCUGCUAUAAACAGCCUGCAGUUACUGCCUCAGGACGCCUUUCUGGAAGGUGAGUUUCUUGGCCAGGGGAUAUCGCACAUGCACUUUGGAGCCUCUGAGCCUUUCCACAGGCUGGUCCCUCUGCCCGGCUGCCCCUCUCCCAUUUAUCCCUAGAUUCUUCUGCAGCGCACACACUGCCUCCUCUGAAGUGUCCUGGCUGCAUGUGCUGCUCUCCUUGCCCUGGGCUGCCCUCUUCUCCCCGGUGUCAUGAGUACCUGCUGACCUUCUUCUUCUCCCAGGACAGAGUGCCUUCCUUCUCUUCCUUCUCUGCCUUGGCCUCCAGCACGUAGUAGGCGCCUAGGAAAUGUUUUCCAGCAGAACGAGCCAUCUCCUGGCUGGUUUAGCAGUGUGGGAUUGUGUGGUGUUUCUAUUAGUC